CACUGACACACACAACAAUCUUCAUCAACAUGACCUUCAUCAUCAUCUUCAUCUGGACUCUCACAGCGUUUGCUCAAGAGAGUAGAGGACAGAUCAGCGUCACUCAGAGUCCCUCAACGACAGCAGCUCAACCAGAACAAACAGUGAAGAUCAGCUGUAAAACCAGCACAGAUGUGUACAGAUGGAGUGAUGGGGAUGAAGGUUUAUUCUGGUUCUUACAGAAACCUGGAGAAGCUCCUAAACUCCUGAUUCGUUAUGUAAAAAAGCUUGAGUCAGGAACUGCAUCUAGAUUCAGUGGCAGUGGAUCUAACAGUGAUUUCACUCUGACCAUCAGUGGAGUCCAGACUGAAGAUGCUGGACAUUAUUACUGUCAGAGUUUUCACUGCAGAACAGAUUCUGAUGGUGGUUGUGCGGGUGAUCAUGCAUUCACACAGUGA